rnacentral:rRNA from 1 species
GCGAGGUCAAGCAAAUCCCAUAAAGUUGUUCUCAGUUCGGAUUGUAGUCUGCAACUCGACUACAUGAAGCUGGAAUCGCUAGUAAUCGUAGAUCAGCAUGCUACGGUGAAUACGUUCCCGGGUCUUGUACACACCGCCCGUCACACCACGAGAGUUUGUAACACCCGAAGCCGGUGGAGUAACCUUUUAGGAGCUAGCCGUCGAAGGUGGGACAAAUGAUUGGGGUGAAGUCGUAACAAGGUAGCCGUAUCGGAAGGUGCGGCUGGAUCACCUCCUUU